rnacentral:lncRNA from 1 species
AACUAAUGAAGGUUCUUUUUUUUUCACCUCUCAUUCUGUUGAUAGUGUCCACCUUUUCUUGGGAUGCAAAGCUGGAAAACCCAUUCUGUCUGGCUAGUGUCAAGUGAUGUCCUGGAAAGUGAGAGAAAUGUCUAUGACAUAGCAAUUGCUGAUACAUUCAUAAGGAUGGCUAUCUAUAAAAACUGACUUAACAAAUUGGAGAAAACUUGGAUCAAUUUAAAAGCUAUCCUGGAACAUUUGUAUGAAGUAGCCGACUAGGGUAUUCAAUGGAGCAGAUGGACUCUUGGAAUGUGGAAAUGAGCGAGUUGGCACCCUGUGAACAUAAGUUUCCAGCAGGAGAGGAAAAGGAAAGGGAAAUUAAUAUGGAACAGGAAGAGAUGCAGAGUGAUGGAAGGAGAAGGUCAAGAUUUCAUAGAACACUCCAGAGUAAUUCUUCAGCCACUCAAGGAUAAGUCUUGAGAAUUCUUCUGUAAGAUGUCAACUGCCUGAGAAUAUGAUCAACUUGCUUCUGAUCCUUGGGGAGGGGAGCAUUCUUCUGAAAGUGGGAGCACAAAAAGAAGAAGGGAAAAGACAAUGUAAUUUGAAAUUAAAUAAUUCCAUAAGCGACAAGUAAUGAUUUGUUUUUUUGCUCUUUCUUCUUCCCCCCCCC